rnacentral:other from 2 species
CAUGACCUGGGAGUUUUUUAAAUUUCCUACAUUUUAGAUAAGGGAAUCGGAUAGAUGCAAUGGUGUUGAAAACCUGCCUAUGAGUAGGGAUCCUAAAGUUGUUUUCAAGAUUCCCACCUGUUCAAACAGGGGAUAAUCUAUUGCUCCCGGGUCUUAU